rnacentral:Y_RNA from 1 species
GGCUGGUCUGAUGGUAGUGGGUUAUCAGAACUUAUUAACAUUAGUGUCACUAAAGUUGGUACACAACCCUCCACUGCUAAAUUUGACUGGCAAAA